rnacentral:rRNA from 1 species
AACGAACGCUGGCGGCAUGCCUAACACAUGCAAGUCGAACGAGACCUUCGGGUCUGGUUGCUCACGGGUGCGUAACGCGUGGGAAUCUUCCCUUGGGUUCGGAAUAACAGCUGGAAACGACGGCUAAUACCGGAUGAUGACGUAAUACCAAAGAUUUAUCGUCCAGGGAUGAGCCCGCGUAGGAUUAGCUAGUUGGUGGGGUAAAGGCCUACCAAGGCGACGAUCCUUAGCUGGUCUGAGAGGAUGAUCAGCCACACUGGGACUGAGACACGGCCCAGACUCCUACGGGAAGCAGCAGUGGGGAAUAUUGGACAAUGGGCGAAAGCCUGAUCCAGCAACGCCGCGUGAGUGAUGAAGGCCUUAGGGUUGUAAAGCUCUUUUACCCGGGAUGAUAAUGACAGUACCGGGAGAAUAAGCCCCGGCUAACUACGUG